rnacentral:rRNA from 1 species
AGUGUAGGUUGUUUGGUAAGUAGGAUGUGAAAUCCGAGGCUCAACCUCGGAACUGCACCCUAAACUGCCAAGCUAGAAUCCCGGAGAGGAUGGUGGAAUUCCGAGUGCAGAGGUGAAAUUCGUAGAGAUUCGGAGGAACACCAGAGGCGAAGGCGACCAUCUGGACGGUGAUUGACACUGAGACUCGAAAGCGUGGGAAGCAAACA